GAUGAACGCUGGCGGCGUGCCUAAUACAUGCAAGUCGAGCGAACAGACGAGGAGCUUGCUCCUCUGACGUUAGCGGCGGACGGGUGAGUAACACGUGGAUAACCUACCUAUAAGACUGGGAUAACUUCGGGAAACCGGAGCUAAUACCGGAUAAUAUAUUGAACCGCAUGGUUCAAUAGUGAAAGACGGUUUUGCUGUCACUUAUAGAUGGAUCCGCGCCGCAUUAGCUAGUUGGUAAGGUAACGGCUUACCAAGGCAACGAUGCGUAGCCGACCUGAGAGGGUGAUCGGCCACACUGGAACUGAGACACGGUCCAGACUCCUACGGGAGGCCGCAGUAGGGAAUCUUCCGCAAUGGGCGAAAGCCUGACGGAGCAACGCCGCGUGAGUUAUGAAGGUCUUCGGAUCGUAAAACUCUGUUAUUAGGGAAGAACAAAUGUGUAAGUAACUAUGCACGUCUUGACGGUACCUAAUCAGAAAGCCACGGCUAACUACGUG
rnacentral:rRNA from 1 species